rnacentral:misc_RNA from 1 species
CCUCAAAUGAAAAUAGACAGCCACAAAUUUGGAAGCUGAAAUUUCAAAACAACCACAUGCAACACAAACAUUAAUAAAUUCCAUUUAUGUAAUCUUGCCAGCUUCCCAUUCAAGAAUAAGUUAGAUUACAAAUUUCAUGUUGUAAAUCAAUCCACCUGCAUGCCUUCGGGAAAAGGUAUUGAAGCACAACAAUGAUAAUAUCCAUUCUCAUCAUACACAAAACGUUGUGAAAGAUGAGCUUCACGUAUGAGAUACUCCCCCCAUUCCUCAGAUCCAAACUUCUUGAAAAUACCUCGAGCAUCAAAGUAAUCGUUUUUUCUUCUCUUCUCCCCUCUCCUAUGGCUUUUCUUAUGCAACUUUAACUUAUGUUUAGCGUCCUUCUCUAGGACAAGUCCAGCCUCAACAAAUGCAUCAAUAAUGACCUGACAGGCACGUAAAAGGCGGUCCUCAUUUCCAACUUCUUCUACAGUUGCAUAGAGAACACGGGCUUUUGCCAUAGAACCUCUCAAGCAAUCCAGCCCCUUAAGUCUGAUAGAGAGUGGUCGAUUAUCCAACGCAUCCAUCACUUUUGAUGAUAUACUCUUCAAAACCUCAGUAGCUGCAUCAAUUCGCUCCUUAUUCCAGAGCUUCAACAUAAGCACAGUUAAGUGAAAUGCUGUAGGUUUGAUAAAUAUAGAUUUGUCUAUUCCCAAGUCAGAUAAAGUAGAUGGCUUUGAUGCUUUAGGUGCGUAACUAACAAGAGGCACGCUAGUUAGAUCCACUUUAACAUUUUUGUCAUCUUCAACUUUAAGUUCAACUGCAACAUCAGAUCCUC